CCUACGGGAGGCAGCAGUGGGGAAUUUUGGACAAUGGGCGCAAGCCUGAUCCAGCCAUGCCGCGUGUGGGAAGAAGGCCUUCGGGUUGUAAACCACUUUUGUCAGGGAAGAAACGGUCUGAACUAAUACUUUGGACUAAUGACGGUACCUGAAGAAUAAGCACCGGCUAACUACGUGCCAGCAGCCGCGGUAAUACGUAGGGUGCAAGCGUUAAUCGGAAUUACUGGGCGUAAAGCGUGCGCAGGCGGCUUUGCAAGACAGAUGUGAAAUCCCCGGGCUCAACCUGGGAACUGCAUUUGUGACUGCAUGGCUAGAGUACGGUAGAGGGGGAUGGAAUUCCGCGUGUAGCAGUGAAAUGCGUAGAUAUGCGGAGGAACACCGAUGGCGAAGGCAAUCCCCUGGACCUGUACUGACGCUCAUGCACGAAGGCGUGGGGAGCAAACAGGAUUAGAUACCCUGGUAGUCCACGCCCUAAACGAUGUCAACUGGUUGUUGGGAGGGUUUCUUCUCAGUAACGAAGCUAACGCGUGAAGUUGACCGCCUGGGGAGUACGGCCGCAAGGUUGAAACUCAAAGGAUUGACGG
rnacentral:rRNA from 1 species